rnacentral:lncRNA from 1 species
UACCCAGAAGAGUGGCUCAAGUUCACAUUCAGAAUUUAUUUGUUGAAAGAGUAUCUCCACUUUAUCACAAUCGAGCACUUCCAAUUCUUUCAGAAGUGGCCAGCUUGAACUAAACCUUCUAGAGCAAAAUCUUUUCAGUUGGUGUAAACCGGAGAGUGUGAGAGAGGUAAGGUUAGGGAAUAAGAGUAAAGGUGCUGCUUCAUCUUCAUUUUCAUUGGCAACAAUUGCCUCCACUCCACUCUCCGAUAUAUAUAGGUCCUCAAGAUGCACAAGAGCACUCGCCACAGAAACCGGAAAAAGGUUUAGCAGUUUGUUGCAUCCCCUUACUUGCAAUUUCCUUAAUUUGGAAAAUGAAUUUGCUGGAAGUUGGUCAGGCCACAAUGCUCUUAUAUUAUCUAGUCCGCGUACAGACAAGGACUCCAACCCUGGGAGUGCAACCUCUGCAAUUGAUGAUCCCUUUAGUUAAUAAUAUAUACAUAUACAUUCCUAAUAAUUAGACACAUGUAAAUAGAAAAUAAGAGGUUAAAGGAGAAUAUAUCAGUAUAACAAAGCACAAAAUUUAAACUAGAUUCAAGAAGAUCAAGAAAGAGAAAAGAAAAGAAAAAGCCUCCAGAUUUUGAAGAUACAAUGAAACUUAAAAAAAAAAAAAAAAACCUUCAAAUUUUCCUUUCGAAAUGAGCUAAUAAGAGGAUUUUUUUUUUCUUUUUUCUUUGCAUCUCUUUCAAAUUUGAUUAACUUCUAUGGAAAACGUAUUUUAACUAGUUAUGGAAAACGGAUAUUUUUUUUUUAACUUUUAUAUAAGAUACAAGUAAUACUUUAAAAAAAUUGUGAUAUCUAAAUAAUUUUUUGAAAAAUUAUUUUGAAAGAAAUAAGGUAAAUCUAUACUUUUUGUAUAAGAUGUUCAACCUUUAUAUACAAAUUUCUAAUUUUUUUUUUUAAAGUGUAUCCAAAUGGACACUAAACUAUCUAGUUUUUAAUUGUUACAACUUUGAAUUGGAUUUUAUGGUAAACUAAUUUACAAGUUAAUGCAUGGAUUCAUCUUAGAUUCCAUCUAUAAAUUUUUUUAAUUAUCUAAUAUAAGACAUUAUAUUAAUGGGUUGAAUUAAUAAUGUAAUUAUAAUUUAUUUGGCAACUUUCUUCCUUCAAAUAUAUAAAAUGAAAAUAAAUUUUAAAAAAUAAAAAAAAUGAAAAAAAUAAAAAAUAAAAAAAGAUUUUUUUUAUAGUUUUUCUAAGGUGAUUUUGUAGAGUAUUGUUAGUUUAUAGUUUUAACUUUAUUUCAUUUUACUUUUAACUUUAUUUAUUGAGGUAUGUUCUUUUUUGCAACUCUUGUUUAGAUUUUAUAGAGAAUAUAAAUUUUAAGAAAAAAAAUGAAAUUUAAAUAAAAUAAGAAUAAAGAAAGGCAAAAGGUGGAUGAAUUUUCUUAAGGCAAAAGUUUGAUAACUUGGCACUAUCAUGUAAUGGGUGAAAUUUUUAAAUACUCAACAAAGGCUAGUGAAAUUUAAAUUAAAAGCUUGACAUGUACCUUUUCGACCAAAAUCUUUGGAGUUGGUGUAAAGUUUUGAGUAUGAGAGAGGUUAGUAUAGGGAAUAUUAUUGCACAUUAGUUCAAAUAAAACAUCAACAUUUUUUUUUGUUAAAUUCUAAAUGAACACCACUAUAAAUUAAUGCGAUUUUGUAUGCUCAAUUAAAUAAACUCGUUCUUAAGGCAUCACAUGAAGUGUUUAAGUCUAAUUAAUAUUAAUUAAAAAUGAUUAUAUUAAAAAAAAUCCAAAGUAAUUUAUUUUUAUCAUAAGUCAAGUAGGAUAGUUUUAUAAAUAAUUGGUUCUAGUUUCUAGUAUUAUUGUACACAAUCGCUAUGUUUGUUGCACCUCCAAAAAAUCUACUACUUGUAAUUAAUUGUAUAUUAUUCUCCAUAUUCACAUCAGUUUAUGUAGUAUGAUUAAUUUAGCAACAAAAUAUAAGUUUACUUGAAAUCGCUUUAAAUUCCUAUGAUAUUAAAGUUUAAGAUUAAAACAAUGUAACAUUAGCCAAAAAGAUUAAGAUCUAUAAUGUAACAUAUAAAAUUUAGAAAAUUCAAGGAAGGGUAAACUCGCACCUGUUCUACCCAGAAGAGUGGCUCAAGUUCACAUUCAGAAUUUAUUUGUUGAAAGAGUAUCUCCACUUUAUCACAAUCGAGCACUUCCAAUUCUUUCAGAAGUGGCCAGCUUGAACUAAACCUUCUAGAGCAAAAUCUUUUGAGUUGGUGUAAACCGGAGAGUGUGAGAGAGGUAAGGUUAGGGAAUGAGAGUAAAGGUGCUGCUUCAUCUUCAUUUUCAUUGGCAACAAUUGCCUCCACUCCACUCUCCGAUAUAUAAAGGUCCUCAAGUUGCACAAGAGCACUCGCCACAGAAACCGGAAAAAGGUUUAGCAAUUUGUUGCAUCCCCUUCCUUGCAAUUUCCUUAAUUUGGAAAAUGAAUUUGCUGGAAGUUGGUCAGGCCACAAUGCUCUUAUAUUAUCUAGUCCACGUACAGACAAGGACUCCAAGCCUGGGAGUGCAACCUGUGCAAUUGAUGAUCCCUUUAGUUAAUAAUAUAUACAUAUACAUUCCUAAUAAUUAGACACAUGUAAAUAGAAAAUAAGAGGUUAAAGGAGAAUAUAUCAGUAUAACAAAGCACAAAAUUUAAACUAGAUUCAAGAAGAUCAAGAAAGAGAAAAGAAAAGAAAAAGCCUCCAGAUUUUGAAGAUACAAUGAAACUUAAAAAAAAAAAAAAAAAAACUUCCAAAUUUUCCUUUCGAAAUGAGGUAAUAAGAGGAUUUUUUUUUUCUUUUUUCUUUGCCUCUCUUUCAAAUUUGAUUAACUUCUAUGGAAAACGUAUUUUAACUAGUUAUGGAAAACCGAUUUUUUUUUUUUUAACUUUUAUAUAAGAUACAAGUAAUACUUUAAAAAAAUUGUGAUAUCUAAAUAAUUUUUUGAAAAAUUAUUUUUAAAGAAAUAAGGUAAAUCUAUACUUUUUGUACAAGAUGUUCUACCUUUAUAUACAAAUUUCUGAUUUUUUUUUUAAAAGUGUAUCCAAAUGGACACUAAACUAUCUAGUUUUUAAUUGUUACAACUUUGAAUUGGAUUUUAUGGUAAACUAAUUUACAAGUUAAUGCAUGGAUUCAUCUUAGAUUCCAUCUAUAAAUUUUUUUAAUUAUCUAAUAUAAGACAUUAUAUUAAUGAGUUGAAUUAAUAAUGUAAUUAUAAUUUAUUUGGCAACUUUCUUCCUUCAAAUAUAUAAAAUGAAAAUAAAGUUUAAAAAAUAAAAAAAAUGAAAAAAAUAAAAAAUAAAAAAUGAUUUUUUUUAUAGUUUUUCUAAGAUGAUUUUGUAGAGUACUGUUAGUUUAUAGUUUUAACUUUAUUUCAUUUUACUUUUAACUUUAUUUAUUGAGGUAUGUUCUUUUUUGAAACUCUUGUUUAGAUUUUAUAGAGAAUAUAAAUUUUAAGAAAAAAAAUGAAAUUUAAAUAAAAUAAGAAUAAAGAAAGGCAAAAGGUGGAUGAAUUUUUUUAAGGCAAAAGUUUGAUAACUUGGCACUAUCAUGUAAUGGGUGAAAUUUUUAAAUACUCAACAAAGGCUAGUGAAAUUUAAAUUAAAAGCUUGACAUGUACCUUUUCGACCAAAAUCUUUGGAGUUGGUGUAAAGUUUUGAGUAUGAGAGAGGUUAGUCUAGGGAAUAUUAUUGCACAUUAGUUCAAAUAAAACAUCAACAUUUUUUUUUUGUUAAAUUCUAAAUGAACACCGCUAUAAAUUAAUGCGAUUUUGUAUGCUCAAUUAAAUAAACUUGUUCUUAAGGCAUCACAUGAAGUGUUUAAGUCUAAUUAAUAUUAAUUAAAAAUGAUUAUAUUAAAAAAAAUCCAAAGUAAUUUAUUUUUAUCAUAAGUCAAGUAGGAUAGUUUUAUAAAUAAUUGGUUCUAGUUUCUAGUACUAUUGUACACAAUCGCUAUGUUUGUUGCACCUCCAAAAAAUCUACUACUUGUAAUUAAUUGUAUAUUAUUCUCCAUAUUCACAUCAGUUUAUGUAGUAUGAUUAAUUUAGCAACAAAAUAUAAGUUUACUUGAAAUCGCUUUAAAUUCCUAUGAUAUUAAAGUUUAAGAUUAAAACAAUGUAACAUUAGCCAAAAAGAUUAAGAUCUAUAAUGUAACAUAUAAUAUUUAGAAAAUUCAAGGAAGGGUAAACUCGCACCUGUUCUACCCAGAAGAGUGGCUCAAGUUCACAUUCAUAAUUUAUUUGUUGAAAGAGUAUCUCCACUUUAUCACAAUCGAGCACUUCCAAUUCUUUCAGAAGUGGCCAGCUUGAACUAAACCUUCUAGAGAAAAAUCUUUUGAGUUGGUGUAAACCGGAGAGUGUAAGAGAGGUAAGGUUAGGGAAUAAGAGUAAAAGUGCUGCUUCAUCUUCAUUUUCAUUGGCAACAAUUGCCUCCACUCCACUUUCCGAUAUAUAUAGGUCCUCAAGUUGCACAAGAGCACUCGCCACAGAAACCGGAAAAAGGUUUAGCAAUUUGUUGCAUCCCCUUACUUGCAAUUUCCUUAAUUUGGAAAAUGAAUUUGCUGGAAGUUGGUCAGACCACAAUGCUCUUAUAUUAUCUAGUCCGCGUACAGACAAGGACUCCAAACCUGGGAGUGCAACCUGUGCAAUUGAUGAUCCCUUUAGUUAAUAAUAUAUACAUAUACAUUCCUAAUAAUUAGACACAUGUAAAUAGAAAAUAAGAGGUUAAAGGAGAAUAUAUCAGUAUAACAAAGCACAAAAUUUAAACUAGAUUCAAGAAGAUCAAGAAAGAGAAAAGAAAAGAAAAAGCCUCCAGAUUUUGAAGAUACAAUGAAACUUAACAAAAAAAAAAAAAAACCACCAAAUUUUCCUUUCGAAAUGAGGUAAUAAGAGGAUUUUUUUUUUUUCUUUUUUCUUUGCCUCUCUUUCAAAUUUGAUUAACUUCUAUGGAAAACGUAUUUUAACUAGUUAUGGAAAACAUAUUUUUUUUUUAAAAAACUUUUCUAUAAGAUACAAGUAAUACUUUAAAAAAAUUGUGAUAUCUAAAAAAUUUUUUGAAAAAUUAUUUUUAAAGAAAUAAGGUAAAUCUAUACUUUUUGUAUAAGAUGUUCUACCUUUAUAUACAAAUUUCUGAUUUUUUUUUUAAAAGUGUAUCCAAAUGGACACUAAACUAUCUAGUUUUUAAUUGUUACAACUUUGAAUUGGAUUUUAUGGUAAACUAAUUUACAAGUUAAUGCAUGGAUUCAUCUUAGAUUCCAUCUAUAAAUUUUUUUAAUUAUCUAAUAUAAGACAUUAUAUUAAUGGGUUGAAUUAAUAAUGUAAUUAUAAUUUAUUUGGCAAGUUUCUUCCUUCAAAUAUAUAAAAUGAAAAUAAAUUUUAAAAAAUAAAAAAAAUGAAAAAAAUAAAAAAUAAAAAAAGAUUUUUUUUAUAGUUUUUCUAAGAUGAUUUUGUAGAGUACUGUUAGUUUAUAGUUUUAACUUUAUUUCAUUUUACUUUUAACUUUAUUUAUUGAGGUAUGUUCUUUUUUGAAACUCUUGUUUAGAUUUUAUAGAGGAUAUAAAUUUUCAGAAAAAAAAAAUUAAAUUUAAAUAAAAUAGGAAUAAAGAAAGGCAAAAGGUGGAUGAAUUUUUUUAAGGCAAAAGUUUGAUAACUUGGCACUAUCAUGUAAUGGGUGAAAUUUUUAAAUACUCAACAAAGGCUAGUGAAAUUUAAAUUAAAAGCUUGACAUGUACCUUUUCGACCAAAAUCUUUGGAGUUGGUGUAAAGUUUUGAGUAUGAGAGAGGUUAGUCUAGGGAAUAUUAUUGCACAUUAGUUCAAAUAAAACAUCAACAUUUUUUUUUUUGUUAAAUUCUAAAUGAACACCACUAUAAAUUAAUGCGAUUUGUAUGCUCAAUUAAAUAAACUCGUUCUUAAGGCAUCACAUGAAGUGUUUAAGUCUAAUUAAUAUUAAUUAAAAAUGAUUAUUUUAAAAAAAUCCAAAGUAAUUUAUUUUUAUCAUAAGUCAAGUAGGAUAGUUUUAUAAAUAAUUGGUUCUAGUUUCUAGUAUUAUUGUACACAAUCGCUAUGUUUGUUGCACCUCCAAAAAAUCUACUACUUGUAAUUAAUUGUAUAUUAUUCUCCAUAUUCACAUCAGUUUAUGUAGUAUGAUUAAUUUAGCAACAAAAUAUAAGUUUACUUGAAAUCGCUUUAAAUUCCUAUGAUAUUAAAGUUUAAGAUUAAAACAAUGUAACAUUAGCCAAAAAGACUAAGAUCUAUAAUGUAACAUAUAAAAUUUAGAAAAUUCAAGGAAGGGUAAACUCGCACCUGUUCUACCCAGAAGAGUGGCUCAAGUUCACAUUCAGAAUUUAUUUGUUGAAAGAGUAUCUCCACUUUAUCACAAUCGAGCACUUCCAAUUCUUUCAGAAGUGGCCAGCUUGAACUAAACCUUCUAGAGCAAAAUCUUUUGAGUUGGUGUAAACCGGAGAGUGUGAGAGAGGUAAGGUUAGGGAAUGAGAGUAAAGGUGCUGCUUCAUCUUCAUUUUCAUUGGCAACAAUUGCCUCCACUCCACUCUCCGAUAUAUAAAGGUCCUCAAGUUGCACAAGAGCACUCGCCACAGAAACCGGAAAAAGGUUUAGCAAUUUGUUGCAUCCCCUUACUUGCAAUUUCCUUAAUUUGGAAAAUGAAUUUGCUGGAAGUUGGUCAGGCCACAAUGCUCUUAUAUUAUCUAGUCCGCGUACAGACAAGGACUCCAAACCUGGGAGUGCAACCUGUGCAAUUGAUGAUCCCUUUAGUUAAUAAUAUAUACAUAUACAUUCCUAAUAAUUAGACACAUGUAAAUAGAAAAUAAGAGGUUAAAGGAGAAUAUAUCAGUAUAACAAAGCACAAAAUUUAAACUCUAUUCAAGAAGAUCCAGAAAGAGAAAAGAAAACGCCUUUUGAUUUUGAAGAUCCAAUGAAACUUUAAAAAAAAAAAAAAAAACCUCCAAAUUUUGCUUUCCAAAUGAGGUAAUAGGAGGAUAUUUUUAUUUUAUUUUUUCUUUGCCUCUCUUUCAAAUUUGAUUAACUUCCAUGGAAAACGUAUUUUAACUAGCCAUGGAAAAUGGAUUUUUUUUUUAAAACUUUUAUAUAAGAUACAAGAACUCUUAGAGGGUUACAUUAUGUAAGUAAUACUUUAAAAAAAAUGUUUAAAAAUAUUGUGAUAUCCAAAAAUUUUACUACCUCGGAUUUUAAAUUUUAAAAAAAUUAUUUUUAAAGAAAUAAGGUAAAUCUAUACUUUUUCGUAUAAGAUAUUCUACCUUUAUAUACAAAUUUCUGAUUUUUUUUUUAAAGUGUAUCCAAAUGGACACUAAACUAUCUAGUUUCGAAUUUUUACAACUUUGAAUUGGAUUUUAUGGUAAACUAAUUGACAAUAUAACGCAUGGAUUCAUCUUAGAUUCCAUCUAUAAAUUUUUUAAUUAUCUAAUAUAAGACAUUAUAUUAAUGGGUUGAAUUAAUAAUGUAAUUAUAAUUUAUUUGGCAACUUUCUUCCUUCAAAUAUAUAAGACGAAAAUAUAUUUUAAAAAAUAAAAAAGAAUGAUAAAAAAUAGAAAAUAAAAAUAGCUUAUUUUAUUGUUUUUCUAAGAUGAUUUUGUAGAGUGUUAGUUUAUAGUUUAACUUUAUUUCAUUUUACUUUUAACAUUAUUUAUUGAGGUAUGUUCUUUUUUGAAACUCUUGUUUAGAUUUUAUAGAGAAUAUAAAUUUUAAGAAAAAAAAUGAAAUUUAAAUAAAAUAAGAAUAAAGAAAGGCAAAAGGUGGAUGAAUUUUUUGAAGGCAAAAGUUUGAUAAUUUGGCACUGUCAUGUAAUGGGUGAAAUUUUUAAAUACUCAACAAAGGCUAGUGAAAUUUAAAUUAAAACCUUGACAUGUACCUUUUCGACCAAAAUCUUUGGAGUUGGUGUAAAGUUUUGAGUAUGAGAGAGGUUAGUCUAGGGAAUAUUAUUGCACAUUAGUUCAAAUAAAACAUCAACAUUUUUUUUUGUUAAAUUCUAAAUGAACACCACUAUAAAUUAAUGCGAUUUUGUAUGCUCAAUUAAAUAAACUCGUUCUUAAGGCAUCACAUGAAGUGUUUAAGUCUAAUUAAUAUUAAUUAAAAAUGAUUAUAUCAAAAAAAAUCCAAAGUAAUUUUUUUUUAUCAUAAGUCAAGUAGGAUAGUUUUAUAAAUAAUUGGUUCUAGUUUCUAGUAUUAUUGUACACAAUCGCUAUGUUUGUUGCACCUCCAAAAAAUCUACUACUUGUAAUUAAUUGUAUAUUAUUCUCCAUAUUCACAUCAGUUUAUGUAGUAUGAUUAAUUUAGCAACAAAAUAUAAGUUUACUUGAAAUCGCUUUAAAUUCCUAUGAUAUUAAAGUUUAAGAUUAAAACAAUGUAACAUUAGCCAAAAAGACUAAGAUCUAUAAUGUAACAAAUAAAAUUUAGAAAAUUCAAGGCAGGGUAAACUCGCACCUGUUCUACCCAGAAGAGUGGCUCAAGUUCACAUUCAGAAUUUAUUUGUUGAAAGAGUAUCUCCACUUUAUCACAAUCGAGCACUUCCAAUUCUUUCAGAAGUAGCCAGCUUGAACUAAACCUUCUAGAGCAAAAUCUUUUGAGUUGGUGUAAACCGGAGAGUGUGAGAGAGGUAAGGUUAGGGAAUAAGAGUAAAGGUGCUGCUUCAUCUUCAUUUUCAUUGGCAACAAUUGCCUCCACUCCACUCUCCGAUAUAUAUAGGUCCUCAAGUUGCACAAGAGCACUCGCCACAGAAACCCGAAAAAGGUUUAGCAAUUUGUUGAAUCCCCUUACAUGCAAUUUCCUUAAUUUGGAAAAUGAAUUUGUUGGAAGUUGGUCAGGCCACAAUGCUCUUAUAUUAUCCAGUCCGCAUACAUACAAGGACUCCAAGCCUUGGAGUGCAACCUGUGCAAUUGAUAAUCCCUUUGGUUAAUAAUAUAUACAUAUACAUUCCUAAUGAUUAGACACAUGUAAAUAGAAAAUAAGAGGUUAAAGGAGAAUAUAUCAGUAUAACAAAGCACAAAAUUUAAACUAGAUUAAAGAAGAUCAAGAAAGAGAAAAGAAAAGAAAAAGCCUCCAGAUUUUGAAGAUACAAUGAAACUUAAAAAAAAAAAAAAAAAACCUCCAAAUUUUCCUUUCGAAAUGAGGUAAUAAGAGGAUUUUUUUUUUCUUUUUUCUUUGCCUCUCUUUCAAAUUUGAUUAACUUCUAUGGAAAACGUAUUUUAACUAGUUAUGGAAAACGGAUUUUUUUUUUUAAAAACUUUUAUAUAAGAUACAAGUAAUACUUUAAAAAAAUUGUGAUAUCUAAAAAAUUUUUUGAAAAAUUAUUUUUAAAGAAAUAAGGUAAAUCUAUACUUUUUGUAUAAGAUGUUCUACCUUUGUAUUCAAAUUUCUGAUUUUUUUUUUUUAAAGUGUAUCCAAAUGCACACUAAACUAUCUAGUUUUUAAUUGUUACAACUUUGAAUUGGAUUUUAUGGUAAACUAAUUUACAAGUUAAUGCAUAGAUUCAUCUUAGAUUCCAUCUAUAAAUUUUUUUAAUUAUCUAAUAUAAGACAGUAUAUUAAUGGGUUGAAUUAAUAAUGUAAUUAUAAUUUAUUUGGCAACUUUCUUCCUUCAAAUAUAUAAAAUGAAAAUAAAUUUUAAAAAAUAAAAAAUAAAAAAAAGAUUUUUUUUAUAGUUUUUCUAAGAUGAUUUUGUAGAGUUCUGUUAGUUUAUAGUUUUCACUUUAUUUAUUGAGGUAUGUUCUUUUUUGAAACUCUUGUUUAGAUUUUAUUGAGAAUAUAAAUUUUAAGAAAAAAAAUAAAAUUUAAAUAAAAUAAGAAUAAAGAAAGGCAAAAGCUGGAUGAAUUUUUUUAAGGCAAAAGUUUGAUAAUUUGGCACUCUCAUGUAAUGGGUGAAAUUUUUAAAUACUCAACAAAGGCUAGUGAAAUUUAAAUUAAAACCAUGACAUGUACCUUUUAGACCAAAAUCUUUGGAGUUGGUGUAAUGUUUUGAGUAUGAGAGAGGUUAGUCUAGGGAAUAUUAUUGCACAUUAGUUCAAAUAAAACAUCAACAUUUUUUUUUGUUAAAUUCUAAAUGAACACCACUAUAAAUUAAUGCGAUUUUGUAUGCUCAAUUAAAUAAACUCGUUCUUAAGGCAUCACAUGAAGUGUUUAAGUCUAAUUAAUAUUAAUUAAAAAUGAUUAUAGUAAAAAAAAUCCAAAGUAAUUUUUUUUUAUCAUAAGUCAAGUAGGAUAGUUUUAUAAAUAAUUGGUUCUAGUUUCUAGUAUUAUUGUAGACAAUCGCUAUGUUUGUUGCACCUCCAAAAAAUCUACUACUUGUAAUUAAUUGUAUAUUAUUCUCCAUAUUCACAUCAGUUUAUGUAGUAUGAUUAAUUUAGCAACAAAAUAUAAGUUUACUUGAAAUGGCUUUAAAUUCCUAUGAUAUUAAAGUUUAAGAUUAAAACAAUGUAACAUUAGCAAAAAAGAUUAAGAUCUAUAAUGUAACAAAUAAAAUUUAGAAAAUUCAAGGCAGGGUAAACUCGCACCUGUUCUACCCAGAAGAGUGGCUCAAGUUCACAUUCAGAAUUUAUUUGUUGAAAGAGUAUCUCCACUUUAUCACAAUCGAGCACUUCCAAUUCUUUCAGAAGUAGCCAGCUUGAACUAAACCUUCUAGAGCAAAAUCUUUUGAGUUGGUGUAAACCGGAGAGUGUGAGAGAGGUAAGGUUAGGGAAUAAGAGUAAAGGUGCUGCUUCAUCUUCAUUUUCAUUGGCAACAAUUGCCUCCACUCCACUCUCUGAUAUAUAUAGGUCCUCAAGUUGCACAAGAGCACUCGCCACAGAAACCCGAAAAAGGUUUAGCAAUUUGUUGAAUCCCCUUACAUGCAAUUUCCUUAAUUUGGAAAAUGAAUUUGUUGGAAGUUGGUCAGGCCACAAUGCUCUUAUAUUAUCCAGUCCGCAUACAUACAAGGACUCCAAGCCUGGGAGUGCAACCUGUGCAAUUGAUAAUCCCUUUGGUUAAUAAUAUAUACAUAUACAUUCCUAAUAAUUAGACACAUGUAAAUAGAAAAUAAGAGGUUAAAGG